UAGAAACCCAGGAGGAGAAGGGAACCGCUAAUUGCCUGAGCAGACUAAUUGGCCGUGGGAGGGGGCGUGGGCCGAAUGAGAGGGUCUGGAGCUUCCUUGAGACCAGGGAGACUGGACCUUACUCACCGCUGCAUUCCCAAAGCCCAGCACAAGCCCAGCCCCCAGCUCCCCGCCUUCCUCGGAAGGAGAAGUGAUCUUACCAGGACCCAGCAGAAGAGAAAACCCAGUCCAGGAGCAUUUUACAUAGAUGUCUUGAAGAGCUGUUACAUCCUAAGGGUGCAAAAGAGGGAAGAUUCCAUCCACUUCAAAACUCCUGACUUGGGGCACCUGAGUGGCUCAGUGGGUUAAGCCUCUGCCUUCG